UACGUAGGGUGCGAGCGUUAAUCGGAAUUACUGGGCGUAAAGCGUGCGUAGGCGGUUUGUUAAGUCCGCUGUGAAAGCCCCGGGCUCAACCUGGGAAUUGCAUUCGAGACUGAAUAGCUAGGGUACGGUAGAGGGAAGUGGAAUUUCCGGUGUAGCGGUGAAAUGCGUAGAUAUCGGAAGGAACAUCAGUGGCGAAAGCGACUUCCUGGACCAGUACCGACGUUCAGGCACGAAAGCGUGGGGAGCAAACAGGA
rnacentral:rRNA from 1 species